rnacentral:rRNA from 1 species
UAGGGAAUCUUCCACAAUGGACGAAAGUCUGAUGGAGCAACGCCGCGUGAGUGAAGAAGGUUUUCGGAUCGUAAAGCUCUGUUGUUGGUGAAGAAGGAUAGAGGCAGUAACUGGUCUUUAUUUGACGGUAAUCAACUAGAAAGUCACGGCUAACUACGUGCCAC